rnacentral:rRNA from 1 species
AGAGUUUGAUCCUGGCUCAGAACGAACGUUGGCGGCAUGGAUUAGGCAUGCAAGUCGAACGAAUGCUAUUUGGGAAACUGGAUAGCGGAAGUGGCGAAAGGGGCAGUAAUACAUGGAUAACCUACCCUGGGGAUGGGCAUAGCCGUUCUAACGAGCGGGUAAUUCCCAGAGAGUCGACGUGGUGGCAUCAUCGUGUCGGGAAAUGAAUUUCGCCUCGGGAGGGGUCCAUGAGCUAUCAGCUAGUUGGUGAGGUAACGGCUCACCAAGGCGUAGACGGCUAGCGGGUGUGAGAGCACGACCCGCGCCACUGGCACUGAGACACUGGCCAGACACCUACGGGUGGCUGCAGUCGAGGAUCUUCGUCAAUGGGCGCAAGCCUGAACGAGCGAUGCCGCGUGAGCGAUGAAGGCCUUCGGGUUGUAAAGCUCAAAAGAGGUGAGAAAGGGAAACUUGAUCAAACCUCAGUAAGCUCGGGCUAAGUUCGUGCCAGCAGCCGCGGUAAGACGAACCAAGACGAACGUUGUUCGGAAUCACUGGGCUUAAAGGGCGCGUAGGCGGAUUUGCAAGUCCGUGGUGAAAUCCCACAGCUCAACUGUGGAACUGCCUCGGAUACUGUGAGUCUCGAGGGUGGUAGGGGUAUGCGGAACUAUCGGUGGAGCGGUGAAAUGCGUUGAUAUCGAUAGGAACUCCGGUGGCGAAGGCGGCAUACUGGACCACUUCUGACGCUGAGGCGCGAAAGCCAGGGGAGCAAACGGGAUUAGAUACCCCGGUAGUCCUGGCCCUAAACGAUGGGUACUAGCUAGUAGGCUUCACAUGGGUUUACUGGCGAAGCAAGAUCUAAGUACCCCGCCUGGGGAGUAUGGUCGCAAGG